rnacentral:rRNA from 1 species
AAGGGGAACCACCCUCUAAGCCUUGAAAUGUUUUUUGACCGAUAGUGAACAAGUACUGUGAAGGAAAGGUAUGAAAAGAAAUCCAUUUAGAAAAGGGAUGUGAAAAAGAAUCAAUAAAUCUGAUAUUAACAAUCAGUCGUUUUAACAUAAACGGCGUACCUUUUGCAUAAGUGCGACACGAAGUCGCUGUUCGUAAUGUGGUGAGAUCCCACUCAGCCUAACUCCUGGCUGAAUCCUACUUGAACCUGCGUAAAGAGUAAUCCUUAGGUGGGAAGCUUCAAGAACAAUGUAGAUCAAGGGCGUGGAACGGGAAAGAAGCGCUACAUCGCUAGGAUAAAAUAGAAAGGUUUAACGUAAGUGAACUGAUGGUAUAAGGUCCCGUAAUAAGGUACUUGGUCUUUCUUAGAGAGUUCCAACCAAAAUAAUUAAACGAAUGUUUAAUGAGUGAGAAGGCUGCAUCUCUUAUGCUGAUGUAACAAGGAGUUUACACUCUCACCGGGAUAAAGUCAGAGGCCUACUCUAUAAUAAGCUGUGCGAACUGCGGAACGUGGUAAGCCUGUACUUCUCCAAACCUAAUCCAUAAACGGAGGGAGGGGAGGCCCGUGAGCAAUGACGAGUAUCGGGGUGCAGGUAGAAGAUUAUUCAAAAAGCAAAUGUUACCCAGUAAUAGGGUAAAUAGUAGUUUGUACUACAACCUGAAAAGGUGCUGACUUGAAUUUGGUGGUUUGAAUCUCCAGUCGCUUGUUCCCAAACAGAACAAAUCAGUGAGGACGGAAAAAAUAUAUAAAACCGAAAAUGACACUUACUUGGAAUGAACUUGAAUGGAAACUAUAUUUCAAAAAAACUCAAGAACUCCGAGAAAGGCUGCUGGCUGGGUGAUGGCUCAUCGAUACUAUGGAGCCAGGCUUUUAAAAUUAUCGUGACGUUAAAAGCUGGGAUAACUGCUUGAGCCGUGUGCGAUGUAAGUCGCACGCACGGUUCUUAUGGGGGGAAAAUCUGAGAAGAUCUACCUAUCCAAAUUGGGUCAGCGAGUAAGAAGAAAAAGCAAGCCUAAGCCCGUAGGUGUAAGCUUAAUGAAAAUGGUAUUGUUGAUUCAAUAAAGUUUUUUCUUCUUGACCCGAAACCGGGUGAUCUAGCCAUGAGCAAGUUGAAGAAAUGGUAAAACAUUUUGGAGGACUGAACCUGUGUUUGUGGCAAAAAACUAGGAUGACUUGUGGUUAGGGGUGAAAAGCCAAUCGAACUCGGAAAUAGCUGGUUUUCUGCGAAAUUUAUUGAGGUAAAGCGUUUUGGUAAUUACCCAUAGGAGGUAGAGCACUCAUUAGACACCAAUAGAGGGGUUUAAGGAAACUCCUAAUACUUAUGGAAGUAUAAUCAAAGCAGACAGACUUAGAAUGCUAAGGUCCUAAGUCAAAAGGGAAACAGCCCAGAUCAUAUGCUAAGGUCCCAAAGCGACUACUUCGUGGGAAAGGAUGUCUUUAAACGUUGACAACCAGGAGAUGGGCUUGGAGGCAGCCAGUCUUUUAAGAAAGCGUAACAGCUCACUGGUCUAGUCUAAAGUGCGCCGAAAAUUUUCGGGUCUUAAGUAGUUCACCGAAGCAAUGGUUAUAUUCUCUAUUUAUAGAAAGUAUAAGGUAGCAGAACGUUCUGUAAGUCUAUGAAGGUAGUCUGAAAAGGCAAACGAGCCAAAUACUGGAGACAUCAGAAGUGAGAAUGCUGACAUGAGUAACGAAAAAUCAUGUGACAUUCAUGAUCGCCGAAAGUCCAAGGGUUUCUGCGAUAUGGAAAUCGACGCAGAGUUAAUCGGCCCCUAAAAUUGAAAAAGAUAUUUUUGGUUGAUGGGAAUAUUGUUAAGUGACCAAUAGGUAUAAGUUUGAGUAUUUUAUUGGAUAUUAUAACAAGUAAAUACUAUUGCAGGAAAAAACAACAAAUAACUAAACCGUACCCUAAACCAACACAGGUGGACAAGUACAUAUUACUAAGGCGUAUGAGAUAACCAUGUUGAAGGAACUCGGCAAAAUUCCUCUGUAACUUAGGAAGAAAGAGGGCCAAUCUUGAUAAUAUUGGUGGCACAGAAUAGGGGGCGGCGACUGUUUAUUAAAAACACAGGGCUCUGCAAAAUGAAUACAUUAUGUAUAGGGCCUGACACCUGCCCGGUGCUGGAAAGAUAAAGCUAGAAGUUCGUUAAUGUACUUCUACUCAAUAACCAGUAAACGGCGGCUGUAACUCUAACAGUACUGCCUAAGGUAGCGAAAUUCAUCGACAUUUAAUUGGUGUCCCGCACGAAUGGUGUAACGAUCGCCCUACUGUCUCCAACAUGGACUCAGUGAAAUUGAAUUCUCCGUGCAGAUGCGGAGUACUAGCAGCUAGACGGUAAGACCCUGUGCACCUUUACUAUAGCUUUGCAUUGGAGAAGCUUAUAAAAUGUAUAGAAUAGGUGGGAGAUUGAUUUAAUCCGAUCACUCGUGGAAUACCACCCUUUUCAUUAGCUUUUCCUCACUUUGGAGAACAAUUGGACAGUGCAUGGUGGGUAGUUUAUCUGGGGCGGAUGCCUGCUAAAAAGUAACGGAGGCGUGCAAAGGUAAGCUCAAACUGGUCGGAAAUCAGUCUUAGAGCGUAAUGGUAUAAGCUUGCCUGACUGCAAGACUAACAAGUCUAGCAGGGACGAAAAGUCGGCCAUAGUGACCCGGGAGUUCUGAGUGGAAGGGCUCUCGCUUAACGGAUCAAAGGUACGCCAGGGAUAACAGACUAAUUACCCCCAAGAGUUCAUAUCGACGGGGUAGUUUGGCACCUCGAUGUCAGCUUGUCACAUCCUCGGGGUGAAGAAGCUCCGAAGGGUCGGGCUGUUCGCCCGUAAAAGUGGUACGUGAGCCGGGUUUAAUACGUUGUAAAACAGUAUGGUUCCUAUCUACUGUUAGUGAUUUAAAACUGAAGGAAUAAGUUCGCCGUACGAGAGGAACCGAGCUUAUCAACCUCUGGUGAAUAAGUUGUUGUGCCAAUAGCAUUGCUUAGUAGCUACGUUGAUUGAUUUUAACCGCUGAAAGCAUCUAAGCGGGAAAUUCUGCCUGAAACAAGUUUUCUAAUUCGUGGAAGACUACCACGAGAUAGGCGAA